CACGGGGGGAGCAAGCGUUGUUCGGAAUCACUGGGCGUAAAGGGCGUGUAGGCGGUCAAGUAAGUGGAAUGUGAAAUGCCCCGGCUCACCCGGGGACCUGCAUCCCAAACUGCUUGGCUUGAGUAUGGGAGAGGAUGAGGGAAUUCCUGGUGUAGCGGUGAAAUGCGUAGAUAUCUGGAGGAACACCGGUGGCGAAGGCGGCAUCCUGGACCAAUUCUGACGCUGAGGAGCGAAAGCCAGGGGAGCAAACGGG
rnacentral:rRNA from 1 species